GGGGUGAGCUAUGAUUGGACUUGUUUGACGAUGAGAGAGAGCACGCUUGUUAGCAUCCAUGAAACAGUCAUGCGUGUUUACAGGCGUGCUCCCUCUCAUCGUCAUACAAUCGAUCUAAUCUUGUGCACCUU
rnacentral:pre_miRNA from 1 species